UUAAAGUCACAGAGUUGCUGUCUACAAGCAUCGGGAGAAUAAACGUGUACUAUUGGUCCACCUAAGUUCAGGCCAUUAUCACCUUAUGCUAUAAAUCUGCUGAUAAUGAAUUGAGCUCAUAUAUUGCAUUGUCUCGGCUCGUCUCCUUUAGUUUAGUUAUUGUAUUUAGACAGGUUUAAUGCCACAAAUGAAGAGGCUCCUUCCAUUGGUGUCUGGUAUUGUCAGAUGAGUUUACAACUGCCGAUCGGUGGCCGUGUUGGAUGCACUUGUUUACAUAUCUAAUGAAUCCGAGGGAGGGAGAAUGGUGAUAUAGGGUGAUGGAAUUGUCUGCCUAUUGAUUCUGAAGCUCUUCUUCCUUAGGGAACUACUUUAAUGGAAGUUUAAUGGAACUGUCCACCUUGAUACCGUAACUUGGCUGGUAGCUCAAUUAGUGUGUACCUAAUGAUGAUCUUCCCCGAGUGGUUCGUCUGACGACAAAGAUCGGACAUGACGACGUACUCGAGCAGUCGGCGCCGCAGUAGCAUUACAUUCCAGGACUAUACUCGAAUAAAGGAGGCGCUGAACCAACUCAAGGAUCAGAAAAGGGGGAUCAAGCGCCCCAAUAAAGAGAACUAUGUGCGCAAUGGACAUCCCCCAACAACGGCCAUUAUGAGAACCAUGCAGUUCCUUAUGCUUGGAAUUGUAGUUGUUGUCGUCAUUUAUGGAAUCCUCAACAUGAUAUGACUUAAUAUCUAUUGUGAAAACUAUUGAUUCAUUUUUCACUGCGGGUGUAUGAUAUAUAAAUCCAAGAAUAUAAACUCAUUUAUCAAACUGUUGUACAUGUACAUAAAUGUGAUCUUGUGAACCAAAUGAUAAACAAAUAAAUUAUUGGUUUUUUAUUCUGUGGCUAUAUAGUGAAAUAAAAUAUGUGUUUCCCAUAGACGAAAUGUACCUAAAAAGUGGUGUAAUAUUCUGUGGGCAUAUCCAACAUAAAAAAAAAUAA